rnacentral:rRNA from 1 species
UACGUAGGGGGGCAAGCGUUGUCCGGAUUUAUUGGGCGUAAAGAGCGUGUAGGCGGCCUUACAGGUCAGCUGUGAAAAACUCGAGGCUCAACCUCGAGACGUCGGUUGAAACCGUAUGGCUAGAGUCCGGAAGAGGAGAGUGGAAUUCCCGGUGUAGCGGUGAAAUGCGCAGAUAUCAGGAAGAACACCCCGUGGCGAAGGCGGUUCUCUGGGGACGGUACUGACGC